GUCUACAGCCAUACCACCCUGAACAUGGCCGAUCUCAUCUGAUCUCGGAAGCUAAGCAGGGUCGGGCCUGGUUAAUAUUUGGAUGGGAGACUGACAAGGAAUCCUGGGUGAUGUAGGCU
rnacentral:rRNA from 1 species